GACGCUGCUGUCAGCCGGCGGUGGGGGGGGUCGGUGUGGGGUAGAAUGGCCGCUGCCGCCGUCACCCGCGGGACCCCGGGAGCACAGACUCCCCCUCCCCCCGGCCCCUCAGGCCGGGGGUGACCUUGCCCCCUGGAUCCCUCACCAUGAAUAGCAAGGAUACCACCGAGGUUGCUGAGAACAACCACCACCUGAAGAUCUUUCUCCCCAAGAAGCUGCUGGAGUGUCUUCCUCGCUGCCCACUGUUGCCUCCAGAGCGGCUACGGUGGAAUACAAAUGAGGAGAUUGCAUCCUACUUGAUCACCUUUGAGAAGCAUGAUGAGUGGCUAUCCUGUGCCCCAAAGACAAGGCCUCAGAAUGGUUCCAUCAUUCUCUAUAACCGCAAGAAAGUGAAAUACCGAAAGGAUGGUUACCUCUGGAAGAAGCGGAAGGAUGGGAAGACUACCCGAGAGGACCACAUGAAGCUGAAGGUCCAGGGCAUGGAGUGUCUCUAUGGCUGCUACGUUCACUCUUCCAUCGUCCCCACAUUCCAUCGGCGCUGCUACUGGCUGCUCCAGAACCCUGACAUCGUCCUUGUGCACUACCUGAACGUCCCAGCCCUGGAGGAUUGUGGAAAGGGUUGCAGCCCCAUCUUUUGUUCCAUCAGCAGCGACCGUCGAGAAUGGCUGAAGUGGUCCCGGGAUGAGCUAUUGGGACAGCUGAAGCCCAUGUUUCAUGGCAUCAAGUGGAGCUGUGGGAAUGGGACAGAGGAAUUCUCUGUAGAACAGCUGGUGCAGCAGAUCUUGGACACUCACCCAACCAAACCUGCACCUCGAACCCAUGCCUGUCUCUGCAGUGGGGGUCUUGGUUCUGGGAGCCUUACACACAAAUGCAGCAGCACGAAACACCGCAUCAUCUCUCCCAAAGUGGAGCCCCGAGCUUUAACCCUGACCUCUGUCCCCCACACUCAUCCCCCUGAGCCUCCUCCACUUAUAGCUCCACUUCCUCCAGAGCUCCCCAAGGCACAUACCUCUCCAUCCUCUUCUUCCUCUUCCUCCUCCUCAUCAGGUUUUGCAGAACCCCUAGAAAUCAGACCUAGCCCUCCUACCUCUCGAGGGGGUUCGUCGAGAGGAGGCACUGCUAUCCUCCUCCUCACGGGACUGGAGCAGCGUGCUGGAGGAUUGACACCCACCAGACAGUUGGCUCCUCAGGCUGAUCCUAGACCUAACAUGAGCUUGGCUGUAGUUGUAGGCUCUGAGCCCUCUGCCCCACCUGCUCCUCCUAGUCCUGCCUUUGACCCUGAUCGUUUUCUCAACAGCCCCCAGAGGGGCCAGACCUAUGGAGGAGGGCAGGGAGUAAGCCCAGACUUCCCUGAGGCAGAGGCUGCCCAUACCCCCUGUCCUGCCCUAGAGCCUGCUGCUGCCCUAGAGCCCCAGGCAGCUGCUCGGGGUCCCCCUUCACAAUCAGGAGCAGGUGGGAGAAGAGGAAACUGCUUUUUCAUCCAAGAUGAUGACAGUGGGGAGGAACUCAAGGGCCAGGGAACUGCCCCACCCAUACCUUCACCCCCUCCCUCACCCUCACACUCACCUGCCCCUUUGGAGCCAUCAGGCAGGGUAGGAAGAGGGGAGGCCUUGUUUGGAGGACCUGGUGGGGCCAGCGAACUGGAGCCCUUCAGUCUUUCAUCAUUCCCAGACCUUAUGGGAGAACUCAUCAGUGAUGAAGCUCCAAGCAUCCCGGCCCCAACCCCCCAGCUCUCACCUGCUCUUAGCACCAUCACAGAUUUCUCCCCAGAGUGGUCCUACCCAGAGGGUGGGGUCAAGGUGCUCAUCACAGGUCCUUGGACAGAGGCCGCUGAGCAUUACUCCUGUGUCUUUGAUCACAUCGCAGUACCAGCCUCACUUGUCCAGCCUGGUGUCUUACGCUGCUACUGUCCUGCCCAUGAGGUAGGGCUGGUGUCUUUGCAGGUGGCAGGGCGGGAGGGGCCCCUUUCUGCUUCUGUGCUCUUUGAGUAUCGAGCCCGCCGAUUCCUGUCUCUGCCUAGUACUCAGCUUGACUGGUUGUCACUGGACGACAACCAGUUCCGGAUGUCCAUACUGGAGCGACUGGAGCAGAUGGAGAAGAGGAUGGCAGAAAUUGCAGCAGCUGGCCGGGCACCUCGACAGGGUCCUGAUGCUCCUCCAAUUCAGGAUGAAGGCCAGGGCCCUGGGUUCGAGGCACGGGUAGUGGUCUUGGUAGAGAGCAUGAUCCCGCGCUCCACCUGGAGGGGUCCUGAGCGCCUGGCCCACGGAAGCCCCUUCCGAGGCAUGAGCCUUCUGCACCUGGCCGCUGCCCAGGGCUAUGCCCGCCUCAUCGAGACCCUGAGCCAGUGGCGGAGCGUGGAGACUGGAAGCUUGGACUUAGAGCAAGAGGUUGACCCACUCAACGUGGAUCACUUCUCUUGCACUCCUCUGAUGUGGGCUUGUGCCCUAGGACACCUGGAAGCUGCUGUGCUCCUUUUCCGCUGGAACCGACAGGCACUGAGUAUUCCAGAUUCUCUGGGCCGGCUACCCCUGUCUGUGGCUCAUUCCCGCGGUCAUGUGCGCCUUGCCCGCUGCCUUGAGGAACUACAGAGACAGGAAGCUUCACUUGAGCCCCCACUUGCCCUAUCGCCACCCUCCUCCAGCCCAGACACUGGUCUGAGCAGCGUCUCCUCACCCUCAGAGCUGUCGGAUGGCACUUUCUCUAUCACAUCAGCCUAUUCUAGUGCCCCGGAUGGCAGUCCUCCCCCUGCUCCUCUGCCUUUCUCUGAGAUUACUAUGGAGAUGGUCCCAGGCCAGCUCUCCUCUGGUGCCCCAGAGGCCCCUCUACUCUUCAUGGACUAUGAGGCCACCAACCCCAGUGGGCCCCCAGCCUCCCCUCCUGCCCUCCCACCAGCCCCAGAUGAUGAGGCUGCUCCAGAGGAUGCUGACAGCUCACAGGCUGUGGAUGUGAUCUCGGUGGACAUGAUCUCCCUGGCCAAACAGAUCAUCGAAGCCACACCAGAGCGGAUUAAACGAGAGGACUUUGUGGGGCUGCCUGAGGCCAGAACCUCAAUGCAGGAACGGACAGGGGCCGUGGGGCUCAACGAGACCAUGUCCUGGCUGGCCAGCUACUUGGAGAAUGUGGACCAUUUCCCCAGCUCCACCCCUCCCAGUGAAAUGCCUUUUGAGCGAAGUCGUCUGGCCAUUCCCCCAGCACCUUCCUGGGCAGAGUUUCUCUCUGCAUCUACCAGUGGCAAGAUGGAAAGUGAUUUUGCUCUGCUGACACUAUCAGAUCAUGAACAGCGGGAACUGUACGAGGCAGCCCGAGUCAUCCAGACAGCCUUCCGAAAGUACAAGGGUCGGCGGCUGAAGGAGCAACAGGAAGUAGCAGCAGCUGUAAUCCAGCGCUGUUAUCGGAAGUACAAGCAGUUUGCGCUCUAUAAGAAGAUGACCCAGGCAGCCAUCCUGAUUCAGAGCAAGUUCCGAAGCUACUAUGAGCAGAAGCGAUUUCAGCAGAGCCGUAGAGCAGCUGUGCUUAUUCAGCAGCACUACCGCUCCUACCGCCGCAGGCCUGGGCCUCCCCACCGGCCCUCUGGCACCCUGCCUGCCCGCAACAAAGGUUCCUUUCUCACCAAGAAGCAGGACCAGGCAGCUCGGAAGAUCAUGAGAUUCCUGCGGCGCUGCCGACACAGGAUGAGAGAAUUGAAGCAGAACCAGGAGCUAGAAGGGCUUCCCCAGCCAGGACUGGCCACCUGACCGCUCCACUGCCUUUCUCACCACCCUGGGGCGCUUCUUGCAGUCUUAACAGGGAAAAGGCUUUCUGGGGCAGGGGGAAGCCCUGUUUGGCAGCUUUCCUUUUCACCUUUGUUGGAGCCCUCAUAUGCCCCCACUUUCUUCCCCAUCCCUGCUCCCACACUUUGCUCCUCUUUCCUCCUGGUCGUUCCCCUCCCCUUUUGGUCCCUGGCCCCAGAGACCCAUGUCCCCCACACCUGCAUCUUCGGCCAUAAUCUACAGAGCCCUGCCUGCCCCUUCUCAGCUCCCUCCUGCCUGCACCCGAUCGGGCCCCUUCCUGACUUGCCUUAUUUAUUUGUUCGACGCGUCUCUGAAUGUAUCUGCCUCGGUCCUAAUCUCUGCCUUCGCUGCGCGCGCCCCUCCUGUUUCAGGGCUGACCGUGCCCCUACCCCGACUCCGCAUGUUUCCGUCCGUUUCCUCCCUUUCUGGCCCUGUCUUCCCCCAUCACCCCGACUCUGGCCACCAAACUCCGGGGCCAAAGGGGAGGGGUUGUACAUAAGAAAGCGUUGCGGAGUCCUGUCCCUGUCCCCCGAAAGGAGGGGGCCUGUACAUACUGUAACAUACAGAGUAUAGUGAAGAAUCUAUUUAAGGCCGCGGGGAGGGCUGCACGGCCGGGCUUGCGGUUCCCUGGCGCGGCGGGGGCCUCCAGCCGGCUCCACGAGCACUUUCUACUUGUGCAUGGGCUUGUUUAUACGAAUUGCCAUUAAACAUCGCUGCACCAGCCAGCCUCUGGCGUCUGUCUACCGGGGGCGGGGCGGGGCCUCUGCCAGCGGGAGGUGCCCACGCGCGGCGGACCUCGGAUCCACGCCCGGGCCGGGCGGGCAAGUAGUUUUCCGCCUCCGACGUGUUUCCGGCCUUAAAGGCAUUUCGCCCUUCCCUUUAAAACGCACCGCCCCCCUCUCAGUCACUCCCAAGAUGGCGGACCUACUGGGCUCCAUCCUGAGCUCCAUGGAGAAGCCACCCAGCCUCGGUGACCAGGAGACUCGGCGCAAGGCCCGAGAGCAGGCUGCCCGCCUGAAGAAACUACAGGAGCAAGAGAAACAACAGAAAGUGGAGUUUCGUAAAAGGAUGGAGAAGGAGGUGUCAGAUUUCAUCCAAGACAGUGGGCAGAUCAAGAAAAAAUUUCAGCCAAUGAACAAGAUAGAGAGGAGCAUACUACACGAUGUGGUGGAAGUGGCUGGCCUGACAUCUUUCUCUUUCGGGGAAGAUGAUGAAUGUCGCUAUGUCAUGAUCUUCAAAAAGGAGUUUGCACCCUCAGAUGAAGAGCUAGACUCUUACCGUAGAGGAGAGGAAUGGGACCCCCAGAAAGCUGAGGAGAAACGGAAACUGAAGGAGUUGGCACAGCGGCAGGAGGAGGAGGUGGCCCAAAAGGGACCUGUGGUGGUGAGCCCUGCCAGUGACUACAAAGACAAGUACAGCCACCUCAUUGGCAAGGGGGCAGCAAAGGAUGCAGCCCACAUGCUUCAGGCCAACAAAACCUACGGCUGUGUGCCUGUGGCCAACAAGAGGGACACACGCUCCAUUGAAGAGGCCAUGAAUGAGAUCCGAGCCAAGAAGCGUCUGCGGCAGAGUGCGGAAGAGUUGCCACCGACCUCCUAGGCACCUCACUCAGCUCCCUUUGACCCCUGGGGCAGGGCAGGGGGCAGGCAGGGACAAGGCUGCUGCUAUUAGAACCCAUUGUGGAGCCCCAUCUCUGAACCACUUCUGACCAGCUGUUGCUCAGGCUGGGGGGAAGCAGGUGUUUAUCACUGUUGGAGCUUAGAUAUGUAUGUGGUGUGUGUGUUGUGUGAGAGUGAGUAUGAAUGCACAGGUGGGUAUUUAAUCUGUAUUAUUCUCCAUUCUCCUUGGAAAUUUCCUUCCCCAUGGGGCUGGGGUUACUUUACAUUCAAUAAAUACUGUU